GAUUAACUAUAACCUAAUUCAUGGACUCAUCCAUCCAACCAGCUACAUGACAAUUGCAUGGACAAAGUGCUCAUAUCAUAGUUGGAUGAAUUCAAACCUUGAUGGCAUACUUUCUAAGUGGAAAGUACAGUUCUUUUUUCUUCUCUCUUUCUGUCUUCAAAGAUGCCUGGUGCUUAGUAAGACGUUUUCGAAUAGCUCUGGUUUUUUUGGGGCGAAGAUCGAGAGGCAAAUAUUUCUUGUUCUUGUAUGCUUCCCUCAGUGCCAACUUUUGCUUCUGCGAUAUAACCGUCAACACCUGUGCUAUUGACAAUCUAACUACCUUUAUCUUUGAGAGCUUAUUGGGGGCACCUCCAGUGACUUUGGCAACACGGAGAAGAGCAAGCUCUGCUUUCAGGUCCUUCAGCUGAGCCAAAAGCUCAGUCUUGGACUUGUUCCUCAGCUCGUGAACUUUGAUCCUUGCCAUGGCGUAUCACUCUCUCCUGGCAAUGUUGAG
rnacentral:misc_RNA from 1 species